AUUGAACGCUGGCGGCAGGCCUAACACAUGCAAGUCGAACGGUAACAGGAAGAAGCUUGCUUCUUUGCUGACGAGUGGCGGACGGGUGAGUAAUGUCUGGGAAACUGCCUGAUGGAGGGGGAUAACUACUGGAAACGGUAGCUAAUACCGCAUAACGUCGCAAGACCAAAGAGGGGGACCUUCGGGCCUCUUGCCAUCGGAUGUGCCCAGCUGGGAUUAGCUAGUAGGUGGGGUAACGGCUCACCUAGGCGACGAUCCCUAGCUGGUCUGAGAGGAUGACCAGCCACACUGGAACUGAGACACGGUCAAGACUCCUACGGGAGGCAGCAGUGGGGAAUAUUGCACAAUGGGCGCAAGCCUGAUGCAGCCAUGCCGCGUGUAUGAAGAAGGCCUUCGGGUUGUAAAGUACUUUCAGCGGGGAGGAAGGGAGUAAAGUUAAUACCUUGGCUCAUUGACGUUACCCGCAGAAGAAGCACCGGCUAACUCCGUG
rnacentral:rRNA from 1 species